rnacentral:rRNA from 1 species
GAUGAACGCUGGCGGCGUGCCUAAUACAUGCAAGUCGAGCGAACGGACGAGAAGCUUGCUUCUCUGAUGUUAGCGGCGGACGGGUGAGUAACACGUGGAUAACCUACCUAUAAGACUGGGAUAACUUCGGGAAACCGGAGCUAAUACCGGAUAAUAUUUUGAACCGCAUGGUUCAAAAGUGAAAGACGGUCUUGCUGUCACUUAUAGAUGGAUCCGCGCUGCAUUAGCUAGUUGGUAAGGUAACGGCUUACCAAGGCAACGAUGCAUAGCCGACCUGAGAGGGUGAUCGGCCACACUGGAACUGAGACACGGUCCAGACUCCUACGGGAGGCAGCAGUAGGGAAUCUUCCGCAAUGGGCGAAAGCCUGACGGAGCAACGCCGCGUGAGUGAUGAAGGUCUUCGGAUCGUAAAACUCUGUUAUUAGGGAAGAACAUAUGUGUAAGUAACUGUGCACAUCUUGACGGUACCUAAUCAGAAAGCCACGGCUAACUACGUGCCAGCAGCCGCGGUAAUACGUAGGUGGCAAGCGUUAUCCGGAAUUAUUGGGCGUAAAGCGCGCGUAGGCGGUUUUUUAAGUCUGAUGUGAAAGCCCACGGCUCAACCGUGGAGGGUCAUUGGAAACUGGAAAACUUGAGUGCAGAAGAGGAAAGUGGAAUUCCAUGUGUAGCGGUGAAAUGCGCAGAGAUAUGGAGGAACACCAGUGGCGAAGGCGACUUUCUGGUCUGUAACUGACGCUGAUGUGCGAAAGCGUGGGGAUCAAACAGGAUUAGAUACCCUGGUAGUCCACGCCGUAAACGAUGAGUGCUAAGUGUUAGGGGGUUUCCGCCCCUUAGUGCUGCAGCUAACGCAUUAAGCACUCCGCCUGGGGAGUACGACCGCAAGGUCGAAACUCAAAGGAAUUGACGGGGACCCGCACAAGCGGUGGAGCAUGUGGUUUAAUUCGAAGCAACGCGAAGAACCUUACCAAAUCUUGACAUCCUUUGACAACUCUAGAGAUAGAGCCUUCCCCUUCGGGGGACAAAGUGACAGGUGGUGCAUGGUUGUCGUCAGCUCGUGUCGUGAGAUGUUGGGUUAAGUCCCGCAACGAGCGCAACCCUUAAGCUUAGUUGCCAUCAUUAAGUUGGGCACUCUAAGUUGACUGCCGGUGACAAACCGGAGGAAGGUGGGGAUGACGUCAAAUCAUCAUGCCCCUUAUGAUUUGGGCUACACACGUGCUACAAUGGACAAUACAAAGGGCAGCGAAACCGCGAGGUCAAGCAAAUCCCAUAAAGUUGUUCUCAGUUCGGAUUGUAGUCUGCAACUCGACUACAUGAAGCCGGAAUCGCUAGUAAUCGUAGAUCAGCAUGCUACGGUGAAUACGUUCCCGGGUCU